CCUGAACAUGACACAAAAGCUCAAUCGUUCAGAAAAGAUAUUGCCAUUUUGCUUGCUUAUACGGUGUAUUCAAGUUUUAGCUGUCAUUUCUAUUGACCAAAGAAUGGACUUUUUUGAAUGGAUUGACAGUUGGGACAUGUGAACAUGGGUGAUGAAGAAGAUGGUUUAAGAUUGGAAAAAUUGGGUAUUAUAGUUUAUACUCACUUUAGUGUCCUAUAAUCUAGUGACAUUUAGUUUACCAUUGUUGCAGGUGUCAAAACAUGUCAUGAGCGCAUUGGCUUCUCUCGUCAACUCAAUUUCUACGAUCUCCAGGUUUUGAUGUUCAAACGGAGAGAACCCUCUCACCACGAUUUGGUUGGAAUUCAAAGGCGAAAAGGAAUGAUAAUAACACUUUGUUUUGGACAUGCCUAGAGAAAUUGUCGUGACUCUCUAGUUGGUGAAUAAUUAAAAGCAGAGGAGGUACUGAAACCACUUAUUAGACACAAGAUUCUCUUGUUCUAACCAUUUCAAGAAAGCAAAGGAAAAUUCCCCUGAAUAGUCCAAACUUACCGAAAAAGACAUUAUCCAAUCUUCUAUGCACAUGCAUGUAUGUACCACCUUAUUUGCAAUAUAGAUAGAUUCGGA